UACGUAGGGUGCAAGCGUUAAUCGGAAUUACUGGGCGUAAAGCGUGCGCAGGCGGUUUUGUAAGUCUGACGUGAAAUCCCCGGGCUCAACCUGGGAAUUGCGAUGGAGACUGCAAGGCUUGAAUCUGGCAGAGGGGGGUAGAAUUCCACGUGUAGCAGUGAGAUGCGUAGAGAUGUGGAGGAACACCGAUGGCGAAGGCAGCCCCCUGGGUCAAGAUUGACGCUCAUGCACGAAAGCGUGGGGAGCAAACAGG
rnacentral:rRNA from 1 species